GGAAUCUUCCACAAUGGACGCAAGUCUGAUGGAGCAACGCCGCGUGAGUGAAGAAGGGUUUCGGCUCGUAAAACUCUGUUGUUAAAGAAGAACAUAUCUGAGAGUAACUGUUCAGGUAUUGACGGUAUUUAACCAGAAAGCCACGGCUAAAUACGUGCCAG
rnacentral:rRNA from 1 species